rnacentral:rRNA from 1 species
AUACAGAGGGUGCAAGCGUUAAUCGGAAUUACUGGGCGUAAAGCGCACGUAGGUGGUUCAUUAAGUCAGAUGUGAAAGCCCCGGGCUCAACCUGGGAACUGCGUUUGAAACUGGUGAGCUAGAGUAUGGUAGAGGUAAGUGGAAUUCCAGGUGUAGCGGUGAAAUGCGUAGAUAUCUGGAGGAACAUCAGUGGCGAAGGCGACUUACUGGACCAAUACUGACACUGAGGUGCGAAAGCGUGGGGAGCAAACAGGAUUAGAAACCCCAGUAGUCC